rnacentral:lncRNA from 1 species
GACCCAGAACUCUCCAUCGAGCCCGUGACAACCGCCGCGAAGCCUCGACAAACAUUCUUCACCCCGAAUGUCGAUCGAAACCUCGCAAGGCUCUCGUAUCAGCUUUCGUACUUCCCCGGUGAGCAAUAGUUAUCAAAUAAUCAAAAUACGAAGGAUUACAAAUCAUUUCCAAAUCAUAACAUAACAUAUUUUUUUUGGCUCACAGGGGCAUUUUCGUCAUUUUUGUCGAAAACCUCGAAACUUGCUAAAAAUGUAGUAGGUACGUCGAAAAUAUAUAUUUAAUGAUUUAAAAAAAAUUAAGUAUCUAAACAUUCAUUUGAAGUGAAAAUUUGACCUUUUGAAUAUAAUAAAAAUAUUCAAUAAAAUAAAUUAUUUUCUUAUAAAAUAAUUUUCAUAAAACUAUCGGUACAUAAUUCUUAUAGCGUAAAAGUUAAUUAUAUUCAUAUAUACUAUAAAGCAAAUAACCAAAGUAUAAAAUUUCUUUUACAGUGACACGUGGGCCCACAUCUAUCCAAAAUGCAUCGGAAGCUAGAAACCUACAGCUUUUACCGAUUCGAGUCCAAAUGAAAGUCCUUGUCAAAGUUAGCUAACUAUGGAAUUCCCCGAGCCUGAAAUGUGA